rnacentral:rRNA from 1 species
GAUGAACGCUGGCGGCGUGCCUCAAACAUGCAAGUCGAGCGGGGCUAUGUAAUAUCGCAAGGUAGAACAUAGCCUAGCGGCGGACGGGUGAGUAACGCGUGGGUAAUCUACCUCGUAGUUCGGGAUAACAGGCCGAAAGGCUUGCUAAUACCGGAUGAGUUCAUGCUUAUGCAUAUAGGCAUGAAGAAAGGGCUAGCCCGCUAUGAGAUGAGCCCGCGUCCCAUUAGCUUGUUGGUGGGGUAAUGGCCUACCAAGGCAACGAUGGGUAGCCGGCCUGAGAGGAUGAUCAGCCACACUGGGACUGAGACACGGCCCAGACUCCUACGGGAGGCAGCAGUGGGGAAUAUUGGACAAUGGGCGCAAGCCUGAUCCAGCCAUGCCGCGUGUGUGAUGAAGGCCUUAGGGUUGUAAAGCACUUUCACCGAUGAAGAUAAUGACGGUAGUCGGAGAAGAAGCCCCGGCUAACUCGUGCC